UACGUAGGGUGCGAGCGUUAAUCGGAAUUACUGGGCGUAAAGGGCGCGUAGGCGGACAGUUAAGUCAGAGGUGAAAGCCCAGGGCUCAACCCUGGAAUAGCCUUUGAUACUGGCUGUCUUGAGUGCGGGAGAGGUGUGUGGAACUCCGAGUGUAGAGGUGAAAUUCGUAGAUAUUCGGAAGAACACCAGUGGCGAAGGCGACACACUGGCCCGUAACUGACGCUGAGGCGCGACA
rnacentral:rRNA from 1 species